AUCGUUGACCGUCCAUUUUGAUAGUUCACCACCUGUUAUUGAAAAUCUAUGGUUAACAAAAGGUGAUGAGGUUAAUCUAGCAGUUCAUGGUUUUGAGGAACUUGAUAAAAUGGUCAUAGAAUGGGUAGCCUAUGAUGAUCAUAGUGGAAUAGAGACAGUACAAUGGAAGAUAUGGGAUCAUUUAACAGAAGUAGAACAUGGAUCUCAGCGUAUUCCACCACAAGGCGAAACAGCGAACAUUGAAGAAUGUCAAAGUAAAUAUUCUAAUAAUGCCAGAGGAGCCAAUUGUUAUUGUAUUCCCACUAGUACAUGUUAUCAUCGCCAUUUUCAAAUAAAACCACCUAAGACUGCUACACCAGGAGAAGGCAU